GCUUGCGGCCAUACCAACCUGGCUAUGCCCGAUCUCGUCUGAUCUCGGAAGCUAAGCAGGUUUGGGCCUGUUAGUACUUGAUGGGAGACCGCCUGGGAAUACCAGUGCUGUAAGCU
rnacentral:rRNA from 1 species